CCAUUAUCGCUCCUCAGGCAGAAAUAAGCGCCAUGGGACGGUACUCAAGAUGGCGCAGACAAAUCAACUUCCGGUGAUACCGAGGAGCGAGGAGCGAGGAAAUGAAAAUAAUCGACCUGAGAAGGACCCUCCUCCGAAUGCGGCCCAAAAAUUCAGCCUUCUUUUCCCAGAUUUGGAGGAUACGCGGUCUACCAUAUGCCAGGGUACAAUGCGCGCAGGGAAAAGUGAGUUUUUUUCAAAUUAAAUGGCGGUCCGGACUCCCCAGCAGAGUGGAUUUAAAAGCUGCACCAAGCGGAGGAAUCACUAAUAAAUGAAAAUUCUGGAGAAAUGGAUCUGCUGGAGAAGGACCCCUAAUCUGAAAAGUGCACAGCGAUCAUCAGGACAGAGCUGCUAUCCAGCUGGACCCCCAAGGUGCUGGAGAAAGCAAAACAGCGAUCAGGAACAUCCUCCACCCAGACCUCUGCUUACUGCCAUCCUACAGACUUGUGUCUUAGUUUCAGAAUUUGAUUUUGUAUGUGUCCUUUCUUUUAAUAGAUAUUUAACGAUUAUAGCUUGAAUCUGUCUGAUUCCCCAAACAGCUGCUUCUAUAUACUUGCUGCACAUAUAAUACAAAUAAACAACUCGAUAAACACA